rnacentral:rRNA from 1 species
CCGUAGCCCAAGAGAUCGGGAUAACACCUGGAAACAGAUGCUAAUACCGGAUAACAACAGAUGAUGCCUAUCAACUGUUUAAAAGAUGGUUAUGCUAUCACUCUUGGAUGGACCUGCGGUGCAUUAGCUAGUUGGUAGGGUAACGGCCUACCAAGGCGAUGAUGCAUAGCCGAGUUGAGAGACUGAUCGGCCACAUUGGGACUGAGACACGGCCCAAACUCCUACGGGAGGCAGCAGCC